AAGACCUCGCGCUAUUAGAGCGGCCGAUGCCCGAUUAGCUAGUUGGUGAGGUAAUGGCCCACCAAGGCAACGAUCGGUAGCUGGUCUGAGAGGAUGAUCAGCCACACUGGGACUGAGACACGGCCCAGACUCCUACGGGAGGCAGCAGUGGGGAAUUUUGGACAAUGGGCGAAAGCCUGAUCCAGCCAUGCCGCGUGAGUGAAGAAGGCCUUCGGGUUGUAAAGCUCUUUCAGCUGGAAAGAAAUCGUCCGGACUAAUACUCCGGAUGGAUGACGGUACCGGAAGAAGAAGCACCGGCUAACUACGUGCCAGCAGCCGCGGUAAUACGUAGGGUGCAGGCGUUAAUCGGAAUUACUGGGCGUAAAGCGUGCGCAGGCGGCUUUCCAAGUCAGAUGUGAAAUCCCCGGGCUUAACCUGGGAACU
rnacentral:rRNA from 1 species